CAUAUUUUCCUUCUCUACUUUCUCUUCCUGCUAUACCCAUCACCACCUCCUCCUCCUCCUCUCUCGGACCGAACCACUGCCUCUCUUGGAUCGAAUCUCCUACUGGAGCCUUGACGAAGAAAAACAAAUGGAGCCAAAGUAAAUCUCUCGAACACUCCCGCUUACAAGCAGUACGUCGUCGGCUUACUUGCCGGAGUUUCCACCGUCGCCAUUGGCCAUCCCUUUGACACCGUAAAGGUGAAGCUGCAAAAACACAAUACUGAAGCACAUGGGAUCAAGUACAAGAAUAGUUUGCAUUUUACUGCUAGGAUACUAAGGACUGAAGGAAUUAGAGGACUUUAUAGAGGUGCUACAUCAUCUUUUGUGGGGAUGUCUUUUGAGAGUUCCCUCAUUUUUGGCAUUUAUUCCCAGACGAA